CGGAAAAUAUACAUUGAUAUAAAAGUAGAAUGAUGGUAAUGUUGCAAUUUUAAAGAGAAAUGAAAAACUCGUUUAGUUUGCCUGUGAUACGCCAGAAAAUUAAUCUGUUUUGGCCACCAUCUAUAUGAAUAAGGUCCAUGAUAAACGUACUAAGCGAAACAAUAUUUUUUAUUGCUCAUUUCAUGUGAUAUUCAUAAUUGUAACAUUUUUGUUCGAUGAUAAUGAUAACUGAUCCAAUAAGGUCAUACAAUGAAAUCGUCAAAUAUGGGUAUGUCAAAACAAGUGUUCUGUCUUUCAGAUAAUCGCAAGUAGAACGAUAUGAAGAUUGAAGUCAUAGGCAUAGGGGGGGGGGGGGGGGGGGGUUGUUAUGGGGGUAGCUGAUCCCCAGAUGAAAAAAUAUGAAAAACUCCAAAUUUAUGUACUAAUGUACUAAACUAAUGUGACAAACAUUACCGUAACAUUAUACAUUUUUACCGAAACAUUAUACAUUUUUUGUGAACCAUUUACAAAAUAAAUCCCGUGGGAAACCUUGAUUAUCAUCUUAUCGUUAUAAUAGCACAUUAGAUUUCCUACUUUCAAAGCCUAGUAACUCGUAGUAAGUACUAAAUCGCAAUUCAAUUAAACGACUCCCUUGAAUACGCACUUCGAAUGUAUUAAAACAUGCAGUCAUGAUUUACAUGAUGAAAAACGAUAUAUACAUUGCGUAUAUGUACCAUUUUAUACCAAAUAUCCAUUUUAUAUCAAAUAAUAUAUAUUUCAUAGUCCUACGUUUAUCCAUAUUAGACAUUACAAACUAAAUUUGUAAAGACAUUAAUUACAUCAAAUUCCUUGUCUGAUCACAUGAGUAUCAUUGAGGCGAACAUUUCACAACAACAUAUCAAAUACGGAAAUACCAACCUCAAAUUUGCCUCAAAUACGUCUUUAGGACAACCAGAAUGAUCGUAAAAAUGUUAUAUUACCACGAAGUUAACAAUCCUGGACAUACUUUAACAUUACGACGGUUUUCGGAGCGACAAUCUUGCUGUAAGUUACGUUUUAAAACGA